rnacentral:rRNA from 1 species
AGGUGACCUGCGGAAGGAUCAUUACCGAGUGCGGGUCCUUUGGGCCCAACCUCCCAUCCGUGUCUAUUAUACCCUGUUGCUUCGGCGGGCCCGCCGCUUGUCGGCCGCCGGGGGGGCGCCUUUGCCCCCCGGGCCCGUGCCCGCCGGAGACCCCAACACGAACACUGUCUGAAAGCGUGCAGUCUGAGUUGAUUGAAUGCAAUCAGUUAAAACUUUCAACAAUGGAUCUCUUGGUUCCGGCAUCGAUGAAGAACGCAGCGAAAUGCGAUAACUAAUGUGAAUUGCAGAAUUCAGUGAAUCAUCGAGUCUUUGAACGCACAUUGCGCCCCCUGGUAUUCCGGGGGGCAUGCCUGUCCGAGCGUCAUUGCUGCCCUCAAGCCCGGCUUGUGUGUUGGGUCGCCGUCCCCCUCUCCGGGGGGACGGGCCCGAAAGGCAGCGGCGGCACCGCGUCCGAUCCUCGAGCGUAUGGGGCUUUGUCACAUGCUCUGUAGGAUUGGCCGGCGCCUGCCGACGUUUUCCAACCAUUUUUUCCAGGUUGACCUCGGAUCAGGUAGGGAUACCCGCUGAACUUAAGCAUAUCAAUAAGCGGAGGAAAAGAAACCAACCGGGAUUGCCUCAGUAACGGCGAGUGAAGCGGCAAGAGCUCAAAUUUGAAAGCUGGCUCCUUCGGAGUCCGCAUUGUAAUUUGCAGAGGAUGCUUUGGGUGCGGCCCCCGUCUAAGUGCCCUGGAACGGGCCGUCAGAGAGGGUGAGAAUCCCGUCUUGGGCGGGGUGUCCGUGCCCGUGUAAAGCUCCUUCGACGAGUCGAGUUGUUUGGGAAUGCAGCUCUAAAUGGGUGGUAAAUUUCAUCUAAAGCUAAAUACUGGCCGGAGACCGAUAGCGCACAAGUAGAGUGAUCGAAAGAUGAAAAGCACUUUGAAAAGAGAGUUAAACAGCACGUGAAAUUGUUGAAAGGGAAGCGCUUGCGACCAGACUCGCCCGCGGGGUUCAGCCGGCAUUCGUGCCGGUGUACUUCCCCGUGGGCGGGCCAGCGUCGGUUUGGGCGGCCGGUCAAAGGCCCCUGGAAUGUAGUACCCUCCGGGGUACCUUAUAGCCAGGGGUGCAAUGCGGCCAGCCUGGACCGAGGAACGCGCUUCGGCAC